CGCCAUGGUGGUAUCGGGGACUCGGCCGGCAUCGUUAGCACAGAAGAUCCUCAGUCAUAGUUAACAAAAUGGAAAAAAAAUUAGCUGUGUUUUUAAGAUUCCAGUGGUGGCCAUCAACUGCUCAGGAAAGCAGCCCAGAAUCACUUCACAACAGGUUUCCAAAGGAUCAUCAUUCAUCAGCACAGAAGGGUGGGAAAGAGAAGGCUGUUCAAAUUCUGAAAAGCCAGAGCUGCAAAGGAGGUCAAAGAUGCAGUGCAGUUGGCCCACUCAGUAGAGUUUCACUAGUGGUUCUGAUGUGGACUGAAGAUUACACGCUAGAUUGAAGUGGCCGGUCUGGAGCAACUAUAGUUCAUCAUUCUUGCUGAUUGUGGACGAGUAAGAGCCCGCGUUGGCCCCGAUCGGCGAUCGCUGGCCAAAGCCCACCACCAGUUUGGUGAUAGGCGUUGGCUGUGAUAUCUAGUGUUAAGUGUCGCCUAUGUGUGAAAAGGAUAAGUUGAUAACAAAACCUGUUGCGCCAUGUUAUUAACCCGCGCCCGGGUGGCCCUCAGCCAACUUGGUGGGGGGGGGGGGAGGUGUAUUCGGCCACACCAGGUUAUCUUGGAAUGUAGCAAAGCUGGAAAGACGCAGUAAAAUCAAUCUAUAGAUCGCUAUUUUUCUUCAGAAUCAUACAGGUCAUUUUUGAUCAGGUCAUCGCUGAGGUCACUGGAGGUCACCAAAAGUAAAAUGAUGACGAAUUUUGGCCCCCGAUUUUGACAACUUCACAAAUUGGUUCAUAAUUCGGGAACCAAAGAAGCUACAGCGCCGCGGAAAAGCGAAUUCGAUAGCUCUUUCGAAAAUCUUUCAGGUUCUCAGAUUUGAGCUAAGGUCAACUAGGGUUAAGCCUCCAAAGGGCAAAAACUGAACAAUCGGCUUGCUUCGGAAGUCGUCUUUUCUUUAAAAAUUGUUUAAACUGAUACCAACCUUUUAUUACGUUGAUUUUACCGGCACUGCGUUUCUCUCGUCUUCUUGGCCUAACAAGGUCAGCUUAAUAAAUUUGACCUCAGGUCAAUGUCGCAGAAAAUGCCAUUUUGCAUGUCAUUGAUUCGUUACAUUGAAAUUGAGAUUAACAUCAGUAGCGGCGGAACACCUUCAAUUAAGGGGGCAUUGCCGACUUUUGGUCUCAUUCUUUCCAUGCAACGCCCAUAGGGCUAAUGUUAAAAUGCCAAAAUCAAAGGGGGCACGGUGCCCCGGUGCCCUCGGCCUGUUCCGCCGCCUAUGAUUAUGAUGCUUUUAGCGCUCUGGCCACGUUCCAUCUAAAAUCGAUGUACAAAAAUAAACUGUUGGGAGGCGUUACAUGACCUGAGAUGACCUCAGGAGCAUACGAUAGAUCCCGAUGUUUGAGUGCUUUUGUUUCAAAAGCAGAACAUUUCGAGUUCCUCAUACUGACUGAAACUGGAGACGUCGCAAAGUUGACCUGACCCUAGGUCACCACCGAGAUCAAAAUUAAAGAUAUUCAAGAUGUUGGUACUGAUUCUCUCAUGCAAUAGCUCGAGUUUCAAACUUCUACUUCAUGGUGACCUGACCUGACCUUAGGUGACAUGGGGUUACUUUUUUCACAAUUGAUGCGAAUCGAUGCAUUAUACAUAAGCUAUACUAAGUUUCGUGUCGUUUUAUCUAUGCAAGCACAAAAUUGUCAGGUGUGGCCAAAAACGCCCCCACGGCCCACCCACCUGGGGAACGUUAAAGCAGUGAUGUAUUUUUUCGGUGUAUUCCACGAUGCAUCGAUCGGUGUAAUGCAUUACUUGAUAAUGCAUUAUUUAUUGCUGCGUGUGUACGCUUUUCCUCUGUUCAGUGUGAUCUGUGAUAGGAAAACUACCGAUAUAUCUCCACGCGCAUGACUGAAAGAGCUGGCGUGAUCUAUAAUAUUGGGUGUCUGUUUUUGUUUGACAUUUUAUAAAUAAUGAGUCAGC
rnacentral:lncRNA from 1 species